AUUGAACGCUGGCGGCAGGCCUAACACAUGCAAGUCGAACGGUAACAGGAAGAAGCUUGCUUCUUUGCUGACGAGUGGCGGACGGGUGAGUAAUGUCUGGGAAACUGCCUGAUGGAGGGGGAUAACUACUGGAAACGGUAGCUAAUACCGCAUAACGUCGCAAGACCAAAGAGGGGGACCUUCGGGCCUCUUGCCAUCGGAUGUGCCCAGAUGGGAUUAGCUAGUAGGUGGGGUAACGGCCCACCUAGGCGACGAUCCCUAGCUGGUCUGAGAGGAUGACCAGCCACACUGGAACUGAGACACGGUCCAGACUCCUACGGGAGGCAGCAGUGGGGAAUAUUGCACAAUGGGCGCAAGCCUGAUGCAGCCAUGCCGCGUGUGUGAAGAAGGCCUUCGGGUUGUAAAGUACUUUCAGCGGGGAGGAAGGCAGUAAGGUUAAUACCUUUGCUCAUUGACGUUACCCAAAGAAGAAGCACCGGCUAACUCCGUG
rnacentral:rRNA from 1 species